UUUCGCGAUAUGAUUGUUAUGAAAUAUCAGACAAUCACGGUUGUUGAAACGAAGGUGGAAGAUAAUUCUUGAUAUCGAUUCUGAAAGUGUCGAGCAAUUUGGACAAGAUUCUCUGGAAUCAUGAUUUUCCGAGUGACACCGGGACAAGGCACCUAUAAAGUGUACGAGCUACACGCUACGAGAUAUCGAAUAUAGGGAGAACUUGGCAACAUCUGCAGAAACACAGGGACUGACAGAGGCGUUGUCCUCCUGGCGGCUGGAUGGUCGUCCUGGGUCCAUCGAAGCUACGCUGAGCUCUUCGACGCCGGGACAGCUUUACGCCGGUAUAGACGUGCUGGGGAAAAUCGUCGUGUUUUCCCCGUGGGCUCACUCUCCCCCUCGUAUAAACGAAGGUUUGGAGAGCGUGCCUCCCCUAAUUUAUGGCCGAGAGACAAGGGAAAAAGAAACACAUUGGAAGAAGUAAAAGGGAUGAGAAGAAGAGAAAAAGACAAAAAGGAUUGUGAAACGACGAUUAAUCUGAAUGAUUCGACAACAGACGAAACAAGUAACGGAGAUAGAUUAUUCAUCGAAAAUCGAUUUGAUUUACGUAUGAAUUUUUCGUGAUUGAGCAUUAAUGUUACGAGAUCAAAAUGUAACGAGCCGUAGAAUUUUUCGAGAAGUGCGAGUCCUAAUUUUUUUAUAAGACAAAAAAAGGAUUAUCUUCGUUAUAAAUAUAUUAUCAAAGAAAAUCAUAAAAUAGAGAUCCAGUGUCCGAAAUAAAAUAGCGAUGAGAAAUAAGUAAAAAUAAAAGAAGAACGGUAGACUGGCGCUUUAAUGCAGAAUCAACGCAAUAUUUUUCAAUAAGGAACCCUUAAGAAGACGCAUUAACGGCCCACCCCGAAUUGUAUAUAUCACGACGGUAAUGACGCGCUCCACGGCAGUAGUUCGGCAGCAUAACGGACCCCGGAAGCUUGGGGAUGAGUUUGGCGGUAGAACUUACUUGCCAAGUCGAGCAAACCUUAUAAAUGCCAUCGUGGAACUAUAAACCUAUGAUGCACGAGCACCCUGAACCAGCUUGAAAGCUCGACUCCAGCCGUGUCCUCCCUCAUUCCUUCUCUCUCCCUGUUUAUCUCACUUCCUCUCUCUCUUUCUCUCUCUCUCUCUCUCUCUCUCUCUCUCUCUUUCUCUUUCUCUCUUUCGGUUCUUACACCGGCUGAUUCCAGACUUUCACAGUUCGUUUCUCUACUGUUUGGUUUCUAUAGAGACAGGGAGAAAGAGAGAAAGGAAAAAGAGAAAGAAAAACUGGCAGAUGCGUCGUAACGAGCCGUAGAAUCUUUCGCGAAAUGCGAGGUACCGAUUUUCCUAUAAGAAAAAACCCUUAUUAACGACGAUAUUCCUACGAACAGUUUAUUAGUAUGCCUUGGUAAUAACAAAGAUAAGAGGUAAAAAGAAGGUAAUAAAAUAAAUCGAAAGAGUAAGAAUAUCUUUAAUUUAUUAUCCUCCCUUUCGAAGUUCAGAUUUUAACCAUUAUCUUUGCUUCACCAUGAAACGAAUGAGAGACAGAGAAAGAGAGGGAGAGAGAGAGAGAGAGAGAGAGAGAUGGAAGGUUUUGGAUUCGAAUGAAAGGUUAGAAUUCGAGAAGAAAUCUUAAAUGAUGAGUCUGGUCUAUCCAAAUGGUAGAUCCGUUCAUAAGAAAUACCAAGUGGAAGUAAUUAGCGGUACUACCUGAUUAUCAA